CUUUCUCUGUUGCUGAGGCUGAAGUGCAGUGGCGUGAUCUCAGCUCACUGCAACCUCUGCCUCCCGGGUUCAAGCAAUUCUCCUGCCUCAGCCUCCAGAGUAGAUGGGAUUACAGGUGCACGCCACCAUGCCCAGCUAAUUUUUUGUAUUUUUAGUAGAGACGGGGUUUCACCAUGCUGGCCAGGGAGCUCUUUUUACAGACAUCAUACGUAGAGCACACACAGACAAGCAGAAGAAAAGUCAGUCGCUGGAUGGGGCCCUUUAAGAGAUAGGGCCACAUGCAGAUAUCAAACCAGAAAGAACCAUUCCCUAAGGCAGGGUUGCUAAACAAAACCAAAAAAACUUUAAAGGUUAAUUUGUUGAUGGGGUAGAGUAGGGGAAAGAAAAGAAACAGUUUAAAAAUAUCUGGGGAAGAACCUCUUAUUCUUAGGCAAGUGGUUCCUCCGCUGGGGAGAAAAGUUUAAUUACUGUCCCGUGGAGUUGAAACCGUUUGGCUGGGGAAGGGGAAAGCUGCUGCAGCAUGGCUGGGAACCAGCCUGCUGGCUGUGUGGGACCCUUGGGCACCGCGUCCCAGCCCCAGCAUGGAGGUGGGAGGGGCUGAGAGCUGUUGCUCCUUGGUUCUUCCUGAGAAAGGAAGGAAAAGGCCAUGAAAAGGCCCCCAACCCCCAGGAGUGGAGAGGGAUGGGGGUUCAAACCCCAGAAGCGACAAGGAGUGGGGGUGCAGUUUCUUGUAAGUUCAGACGUCUGAGGUUGAAAAGGCUUAGAAAUCACAGUGAGAGGUUUUGAGUUCCCAUUUCACUCACCACUUCUGGAGCCCCUCAUUUGCGGCAAAAACGUUGCAUAACUUUUCCUUAGUUCAGGUAAAAAUGUGGGGGCUCUUGUCUGUCCAACAGCCAUGAAAAUUUAGGCUCACAGACAGUUUAAAGGGUGAGUAAAGCAGGGUUUUAUUGGGUGAAAAGGGCCGGGGGGCGGGUGGGGAAAGGACACGGAUCCUCCACACGGCCAGAGUACCCUGCUAGAGCACUUCCCACCUGGCUAUUUGAAUCUCAGGUUCCGCACAGGAAGAGGAGGGGCUGGGCUCCUCCGCAUUGCAAAGGGUGCAAACUUUCUGAGGUUCCAGUCCAGUGGGCAGGCUGGUUAGAGUUCCUCUAGGGGCCCCCUCCCACCUGGCUGUCUCACUUACAACUUCCCUGUUCUGUAUGAUGUUGUCUAUGAGUUUGUCAUACAUGACUUGUAUUAUUUUGAGGCUCAGAAGUACAUAUUCAGGUUUGUUGUACAGCUCCCAGACUUCAUCCUGCUUCAGCUCCUGUCAUCCUGUGCUGUGGAAUUCCUAAACCUCUUAGCUUGAGCCCUGCAACGAUCUGAUUUUCACUCCGUUCUAGGAAGGUUCCAUUCUUCAGUGUGGAGCACAUAUAAGUAUGCAUCUAUAUUGGAGAAAUGAAUGCUAAACAAACGAGGACUUCCUGCUCCUUGUUCUUGGGCCUUCAGGUUUGAACUGGACUUAUACCACUGACUCCCUGCUUAGACUAGAACUAUAUCACCAUCUUUCCUGAGCCCCCAGCUUUCAGACAGCAGAUCAUUGGCCUUCCUAGCUUCCACGAUCAAGAGGUGGGGCCUUUGAGAGGCCAUUAUAUCAUGAAGGCAGAACACUCAGGAAUGGGGUCAGUGCCGUUAUAAAAGAUGCCCUGGAGAGACCUUUUGUCCCUUCUACCAGAUUGGAAAAGCAUUGGAAAAUUUGUCCAAAGUCACUCAACAGAUUCAUGAUGGAUCCUGGAUUCACAGCCAGCUUUACUUGGCAAUAAAAUUCAAGUCCUGUUCACAUCACAACACAUUUUUACCGAAAGAAAAAUAUGAUGUGUAGAUGUUUGGAGGCAUCCUAUCUUAAUGAGGCUUUUGUUAGAAAGAGUUUUCUUAAAAUUACAGGGUUGGGGAAAUAAAAAAUGUUUGUUGCUCAGAUUAACAAAAAAAUGGUAUAUAGAAAAUAAAGCUAAGAAAGGAAAGUGCAGACAACCAAGAGACUAGAAUUUUCAAUAAAUGGCAAAAUUGUGGUGUUCUGUGGUUACCUCUUGAAGAUUUGGCCUGAAUCAUGCAACAAUUGCCCCUUACCCUCAGUCCUCAAAUUACAAUAGUGAAAGAGGUUUCUAUAGGUAUUAUAUUUGAAUCUGCUAUAUUUUGUUUAUUACUUGCAAGGACAUAUAGGAGAGCAAAAGUUUUCCCUCUAAUUUCUUAGGUUUAGUAACUGGAACUUGUGAAUUAAACUGGCAAAAUACAGAUUAACAGGAGAAGAGUCAUAGACAUUUUAUUUUAAAUUUCAUAUGCAAUGUAGUUCCAGAGAAAAGAAGUGAAAGCCUGAAGAAGCAAUUAGACUUGAGGAGUUAUAUCUUUAACAAAGGGUGGUGAGUGUAGAGAAGUGACUAGAUUUUUUUUAAGAUGGUUUUAGGCUUCCAAGGGUGAUAAACCAUGGGAAGGAAAAUACAUGAGGGAAACUAAUGGUAUAUAGGAGUUAUUUAGUAAGGUUUGUUUACACAGACUAAUCUCAGUGGUAAGAACGGUUUUUCUCCUUUUUCUGGUCAGGGGAAGGAGAAGGGACACCAUCACAAUGGGAAUUUGUGCUUUGCUGGUAGACAAAUAGGAGCAGAGCAGAGAACUUCUUUCUCUCAAUUGUCUUCAGCUCAGAAUAAUCCUUAUGCCAAACAGGCAUAAUUUGGAAUUACAUAUUUUCAUCCUCUCCACACACAAGCUUCCGUAUAAAGUUCAAAGACAGUAGUAUUUUCUUAUAAUUCACUCUGCCCCAAAUAUUAACUAAGAUGACAUUCUUUUUCCAGCUUGAUUCUGCAACAUUCACUUCCAGAAACUUUAUCACUCUUAAUCCUGGAUUGAAGGAAAAUAUUUGAAUGUGAUAAAGGAUAUAUAUUUUAAAAAGAAAGGAACUAUAAUAAAAGGCAAGAUUCAGAAAUUAUGUUGUAAUCUGUGACUUAGUGCAAUUUAGUCCUUGAAUUUCUUGUGUGCAAUUUAUUGAAGCUAUCUUAUUAUAUGUUAAUUCUGUGUCUUCUUUGCCCUCUCUUUUUGUAAAAAUUUUCUUUUUCUGAAUUUUUUUCCAGAGUCAAUCAUUGAUCUUCUUGAUAACAUUCAUUUCCCUUGGUGAACUAACUUUGGUUCAUCGCUUUAUCAUUCUUCUCCAGGCUGUUUUUGAAGGGUCUGUGAGCUGAGAAUGGUUUUUAAUAGAUAAAUGCUCACAAUCAAUUUGGGGAUAAGAAAUAUUAUUUUGAAUCUCAGUUACAAAAAAUGUUAUCCUUCAUAAAAUAAUUCAUUUUUUUCUCAGUAAUAAAAAUGUAUUUCAAAAAUAUGGUGUCCUUAUUAUAUUUUAAAUUUUGCCAAUAAAAAUAAUAAAAAUUGAUUUUCUCUAAUUAUGUAAGUACCUAGAUGAUUUUUAAAAUUUUGUCUCUUGACUUAUACAAAGCCUAAAAUAUUUAUAACUGCC
rnacentral:lncRNA from 1 species